GAGGGUAUAGCUCAGGUGGUAGAGCAUAAGCUUAGCAUGCACAAGGUCCUGGGUUCAAUCCCCAGUACCUCCU
rnacentral:tRNA from 1 species